rnacentral:snoRNA from 1 species
CGUUGAAGUGAUGAUUUCUUAUUCCGAAAAUAUGAAUUAAUGUGGAUUGAAAAAUCAGACUACAAUUAUCUGAUCAACG